CCCUUAGAUGUUCUGGGCGGCCCGCGCACUACAAUGGCGCUUUCAGCGAGUUCCUAUGUUGAAUUUUCCUGGGUAUUCUUGGAAGCGGCGUCUUGACUUGGGAUAGAUCCUUGUAAUUGUUGGUUUUGAACGAGGAAUUCCUUGUAAUCGCGAUUCAUCAUAUCGCGCUGAAUACGUCCCUGCCCUUUGUACACACCGCCCGUCGCUCCUACCGAUUGAGCGAUCCGGUGAAUGUUUUGGACUGGCGUCAGAAGCGGUUCGCUCCUGACACUACGAAAUUUUGUAAACCUUAUCGCUUAGAGGAAGGAAAAGUCGUAACA
rnacentral:rRNA from 1 species